rnacentral:rRNA from 1 species
GACGAACGCUGGCGGCGUGCUUAAUACAUGCAAGUCGAACGGACAGGCUCUGCUGUUGCGUGGUACACGAGUGGCGAACGGGUGCGAAACACGUGGGUACCCUGCCCUUGCCUUUGGGAUAGCUUCAGGUAACUGGGGCUAAUAAUGGAUAGGAGCUCCUGAUGCAUGGUGGGGGUUGGUAAGUUACGGCGGUUGGGGAUGGACUCGCGGCUUGUCAGCUUGUUGGUGGGGUAGCGUCUUGCCAAGGCUUUGACGGGUAGCCGGCCUGAGAGGGUGACCGGCCACAGUGUGACUGAGGUGCGGGCCAGAGUGCAACGGGGGGCAGGAGUGGGGGACUGUGCGAGAUGGGCGGAGGGCUUAUGCAGCAACGCCGCGUGCGGGAUGACUGCUUUCGGGUUAUAACCCGUUUUCGCGUGUGACGAAGCGUGAGUGACGGUAAUGGAUAAAGAAGCACCGGCUAACUACGUG